GUUAACCAAAACCUAACCCUAGAGAACCCCCAAACGGCGCACUCACCAUUCCCAGCCCUCUGCCCGCCUCCAACUCGCCGGAAAACCGGCGAGUUCACUUAACGAGUUCAUGGUCCCCUCCUCUCUUCCCUCCUUCCUCCACGUCACGCAUUCCGUACCAAGAUUCAUCAUUGUCACGCGUUUCCUUCCUUUAUUUUUCUUUUUCUAAACAAAAAUCUGAACCCUUGAAUAAAUUUUGGAAGACUGGGAACCGUUGGAUGAAAAAAAAUUUGUCCAAAGUUUUCAUUUUUCCGAUUUUUGUUUGUGAAAGGGGAUUUUCGGAUUUUAUUUUAUGGUCCCACACGAUUUCUUGGAGAAGAGGAGAAGAAGGUUCGAGAGGGGCUAUAUAUUUGGAGUUCUUGGACAGAAAUUGGGGUUUUUUUUUUGGACAGAAAUUUCGGGACAGAAAACGGUUCUAGGGUUUUGGAAAAGGGGUUUCUGUUUUUUUUAUAGUAAAAUCCGAAUUUCAGAAAAUAUAAAAAAAAUGGUUUCAGUUUCUUCUCUUGGGUUCUAACUUCAAGGAUGGGAAUCGAUUGAGGUUUGAAGCUGAUUUGAGUUGUCGUUCAGUGUUCGAAACUCGCGGUUCAUGUUCGAUCUAGCUGCUGCAUUUUCGAGUGCCCUUUUAAGUUUGAAGCUUUGUAGCUGAUUCCCUUAACUCUCUGUUAUCAAGAGGAAACUUAAAUUUCUCAGGUGAUGGUUUAGAUUUUAAUGAUCCGAGAAGACGGCGGUGAAUUGGUGGCCAGUGGUGGUGUAGCAACUUUUUGAUGAAAUUUUUGACAAUUUAAUGCAGAUCUUGGGGGAAUUUAUUACGAAACCAAUAAUAAUUUUGAUGUCUUUGCUGCUCUUUAACUUGAGAAAUAUAGCUUGUAGCCUUAGCAUCAAUGAUGCACUUGUGUUUGACUCACUGCUAACUCCAUUGCAGUCUUUAUUGCGUAUCUGAAAAUUUCUAAUUCCACUCACUUUCUUGAGUUUUUCUAUUUUGAAUCUCGAUAUUUCUAAGAAUAAAAUGCACAAGAAGCUAGGAGCUGAACACAAUUAUACAGAAAUAAAAAGGCAAUAGUUAGCUUAGGCUUUUGUGUGUUUGUUUGAAUUGGAUUGUGAUGGUCUGUUUUCCUUCUACUGGUUAGCGGCAAUGGAGAUUAUUCAUCGGAUAAGAGAAACAGUUGAACGAGGGAACUUGGUUAAGAGAUAUAAUUGUAAUUUUAAGUAUUUUAUUUAUAUCUUAUUUAAAUUGACACGUGUCAUAGCUUUAUUGGUGCAUGAUAUUACACAUAAUUUAGAAAACUGGUCAAGAACAAAGUGGUGUGUAAUAGACACACUUCAGAAAGGUUGAAUGUGUAAAAUGAUUUUUCGUCGUUAGAAGAUGUGUAACAGGAAUUUGGUCUAUAGUUCAGGUAACAACUUAUAUA